rnacentral:lncRNA from 1 species
CUACUAUACUCUUAUGAGUAUAGUCUCUUGUACUCAUAAGUUGUUUUCGAUGUUGAGAUUUUCGAAUCGACGAUCCACACCGUUAAACCUGAUCUAAAGUAUUUGAAAUUUCUAAAAAAUAAAUUUCGUAAUUUUUCGAAAUCAUUAUACAGUCCAUCAAGCGGGUAUAAAAUGAACGGUUAAAAUCGAACGACAUUCUAAAAAUGGAUAAUCGGAUCCUUCAAUUUAAGAUCGGAGUUAUUGAUAUUUACGAUUGCCUUCGUACUCAUAAGUUGUUUUCGAUGAUAGAGCUUACGAAUCGACGAUCCAUACCGUUAAAUAUUAUCUAGAGUAUUUAAAACUUCUAGAAACUAAAUUUUAUAAUUUUUCGAUAUCACUACCUUACGAUCAAAAUUUUUAACGGCCGAUAUGAGAUAUUUGCUAGUUUAACGGUGAAAAAGAAUCGGAAUAGGUUGAAGUUUUGAUAAAAAAUUCUAUUCACUACCUAAAUAAAGAUCAAUAACUCUGAUCUUAAAUUUAAGGAUCCGAUCAUCAAUUUUUAAGAUGUCAUUCGAUUUUAACCGUUCAUUUUAUACCCGCUUGAUGGACUUUAUAAUGAUUUUGAAAAAUUACGAAAUUUAUUUUCUAGAAGUUCCAAAUACUCUAGAUCAUUUUUAACGGUGUGGAUCGUCGAUUCAAAAAGCCCAACAUCGAAAACGUCUUAUGAAUACGAAGCGCUCUAUACUCAUAAGAGUAU